AUUGGCUCUCAGGUCCAGGACACCCCCACAUAAAACAAGAUAAUCCCUUCUCUGUGCCUAAGAGAUAACUAAGUCAGGAACUGUACUAAACUCAAUUAUCUCCAGACAAUAUACAUUUUUACAAAACCCCACAAUAGUUACAUCUCCUGAGAGCCCCGAUCUGAGUGACCAACGUAUCCAAAAAUCACCCAGAUCGGUUCAGGGGUUCGGAAUUUUCAUGGAAGUCAUGAUUUUGAUUGAUCGUGCACAUGGUCCUGUGCCCAAAACAGUUCCAUGAAAUUAGUGCCAAAGGUCGGUCCAUUUCGGUAGUCUUUUACAGGUUUCCCUGCAGGACCCAUAGUCUGUGGGCAGGAGGCUGGCAAGCAAGCUCCUACAGGAGCUCCUGGCAAACUCACAUGGGAAGGGGAGUUUGUCACAGCUACUAUGAGAAAUGAAGCCAAAUCCGUGCUCCCGACACCACUCACCAAACCACAAGUUAAAGUCUCUAUUACGCAUCUGUGUGUUAUGCACAGGCAGAACUUCAGAGAAUGACAGUGUGGAAGCAACCUGCUGUAUAUCAUUGGCAAAAACACUAAAAACUUCCUUUACCUCCGUAACCUCAUUGCAAGCCAAG